CGAUUUGGGGAUCUUGCCGUCUUCUCCAUCUGCUUCUAUAAUCGAUCUUCGCCCCGUGACUGCAGACUUACGUAGAAGUUAUGCUGCUAUGAGGAGACAGCUUCUAAUUGAUCCACAUGUACCAAUGGAUGGUAGUACCUCUCCAGAUCUUGUUAUGGACAACUUAUUGUCUCAAAACCCUGCAUAUGGGUCGCUUCUUCAGGAAUGCUGAGUUAGAAAGAAUGGUUGAUCGGGAUUUGUCUCGUUUAUAUCUUGAUUCUUGAGCAUGG